UAUAGACACAAACUUUUCCAAUUCUAGAGUAAUACAAAACCAAUCAACAAAUAUACCAAAUAAUGUAAAUAAAUUACUACGAUAUGCUACUCAACCAUUUCCAAGUAUAAUCAAUAUGAACAAUAAUACAACAUUGGAUGAACAUGUGGAAUAUAUAAGUAAUAAUGAACUUGAUGAAAGAAAAAAUUUCAAAAAUAUAAACGAAGCAAACUAUAAUAAUUUAAAAAGUGGUACAAACGUUGAAAAAAGAAGUAUCUCAUUAGCAUCGAACAAAUUAACAGAUAAUAUAAAAUAUAUACAUAAUAAUUCUGUUCAAACAAAACAACAAAAUGAUAUACCAUAUAUUUUUUUAGACAAUUCAAAUGCACAAGAAGAUUAUACAAAUAAUAUAAAUAUUAUGCGCAAUAUAAAUAGUAGAAAUAAUUGUAGUUAUGUGGAUAGUGAUUAUUUAGAUACUAACAGUGUUAGUGCAGAUACGAAUAGUAUUAGUACAGAUAAUAAUAGUAAUAGUACAUAUAAUAAUAGUACUAGUACAUAUAAUAAUAGUACUAAUACAGAUAAUAAUAGUACUAAUACAGAUAUAAAUACUACCAGUACAUAUACUAAUAGUACUUAUAUGGGGAAUAAAAUGAUAUCACCAAAUAAUAGUACUUACACUAAUGAUAAUAAUUAUUCUGUUCAUAAUAGAUCACAUUGUGAUUUAUCUUUACGUACGCACAACACAAUGCAUCCAACGCAUUCAACGCAUUCAACGCAUUCAACGCAUCCAACACAAAUACCUAUAAAUAAACAAAUGAACCUUUUUUUUUGUAGUGCCAAUGGAAAUGAUAUAAAUAACCGCGCAUGCUAUACUCCCCAUACAAAUAACUUAAUGGAUCUAAAUCAGCAUAACAUUAAUAGGACAAAUAUUGGUAAUAUAACAAAUGUUUCUAAUAUGUGUAACAUAGGGAAUUUACAUAAUCAGCCCAUUAGAUAUAAUAGUGCAAAUAUACAAAAUAAAAAUCAAACUGAUAUGAAUUCAAAUAUAAACCAACUAGGUUUUAUAUAUCAAAGGAUGAAUUCCCUUAAUGGUCAAUCAAUACGUUAUAUAUGUACGAAUGAAAAUCAACAUAACCCCAACCAACAUAACCCCAACCAACAUAACCCGAAUCAACAUAACCCCAACCAACAUAACCCGAAUCAACAUAACCCCAACCAACAUAACCCGAAUCAACAUAACCCCAAUCAACGUACGCCUAGUCAAGAACAUAUGAACCAAACAAACAUGAGUGAUGCACAUUAUAGUAUCCAAUAUUUAAAUCGAACGAACAACAACGUAAAAAAUGUUAAUAAGAACGCUUGUUAUAUUCCACUCAAUGCUUCGGUUUUAAAGUCAAACACUGUGAACACGCCUUAUAAUGAUAGUACGAUGUCAAAUGUAAUGAAUAUGGAUAUUGAAGGUAAUUUAAGUAAUAUUUUAACACAAAUGGGUCACCAAAAAGAUGCUCCUUCUUCACAAAAUAUAAUGCAGCAACAACAACAACAACAACCCAACACUGAUAAAAAUAUGAUUCAAAACGUGAAUCAAAACACGAAUAAUGAUAACGAUGAAGAUAAAAAUAAUCAAACAAAUAUUCAUUCAUCAUUCAAUGAAAUACAUAAUCAUUGCACUCGAGAAAAUAAAACAUUAAAUGAAAAAAUACAAAACGAAACAGUUUUUAAGCAAAUUCAAGAACAAAUACAAAUGAUACAUUCAAAUCAACUUCACCCACAAAAAAUAAAUUUACAACAAUUAAAAAUGUAUCCAACGCAACAACAAAUACAUAUUCAUCAUAUGCAAUCGCCACUAAAUGGUCACCAAUUACCAUUACAACAUUUGUAUCCAAAACGANNNNNNNNNNNNNNNNNNNNNNNNNNNNNNNNNNNNNNNNNNNNNNNNNNNNNNNNNNNNNNNNNNNNNNNNNNNNNNNNNNNNNNNNNNNNNNNNNNNNAACACGAAUCAGAUAAACACGAAUCAGAUAAACACGAAUCAGAUAAACACGAAUCAGAUAAACACGAAUCAGAUAAACACGAAUCAGAUAAACACGAAUCAGAUAAACACGAAUCAGGCAAACACGAAUCAGGAAAACACGAAUCAGAUGAACACGAAUCAGAUGAACACGAACCAAAUGAACACGAACAUGAUACAUAAUAAUCACUAUCAACAAGAAUUAAAAAAUGGUGUGCAAAAUGUACAAACAUCUAUUCCUUUAUCUCAAAGAAGAACAAAACAAAUUUAUAACACUAAUCAGAAUGUUUUAUUAUAUGAAGAAAAUGAAAAAACUAACCAAGUAAGACAAACGAGCAUGCCUUUUAAGAAGCCAUUAACAAAUGUACAUAAUAUGCAAAUGGUUAAUAACGUGGAUGAACGAAUUUCGAUUGGAGGGGUGUAUAAUAAUAAUUUAAAUCAAGGUGUAGUAUAUAUGAUGAAUA
ensembl:lncRNA